CUAAAGCAAAGACUUUUGAAUACUACUCCAUGGUCUUCCUUCCUGUAGAUUCUGAAGAGUUUGAAGAAGUCAAGAAGACAGAAUUUCAGAGGUCUUAGGCCUCUUCCCACUGCCCUUCCUUGGACCAAGAAAGAAAUCCAAGUCAGACAGACGUGCAGGCGGCCUCGAGGGGAGGAUGUGAUGGAAGUGGGGCCUUGCUGGUCACAUCCUGGCCAGAUCAACCGGGCCCUGUGGAGUUACCUCUGUGAAACUACAAAGCGACCAGCCUCCAAAGUCACCUUAAUGAAAGUCACUUUGCUGUGGAAGAACCAAAUUCAGAGAUUCAAGGCACAACUUCUCAUGGAAAUUUACAGGACCAUUUGA
rnacentral:lncRNA from 1 species